rnacentral:rRNA from 1 species
CAAAAACAUCUUUUCUUGUUAGUUUUUGAAGUAUGGCCUGCCCACUGACUUUAGGUUGAAGGGCCGCGGUAUUUUGACCGUGCAAAGGUAGCAUAAUCAUUAGUUCUUUAAUUGUGAUCUGGUAUGAAUGGCUUGACGAGACAUAAGCUCUCUUAUGGGGAUUAUUUGUUGAAUUUGGAUUUUGAGUUAAAAUUCUUAGAUGUUUUUAUGGGACGAGAAGACCCUAUAGAGUUUGACAUUCACCUUACUUUUAUAUUAGUUGUUUGUUUUAUUUUUUAAUUAGGUUUGAGUGUUUUGUUGGGGUGAUGGGAGGAAUGUUUUUAACUCCUCUUUAUUUAUUGUAUAUUGAUUUAUAUUGUUGAUCCAUUUAUUUUGAUUAUAAGAUUAAAUUACCUU